rnacentral:rRNA from 1 species
UUGAACGCUGGCGGCAGGCCUAACACAUGCAAGUCGAGCGGAUGAAGGGAGCUUGCUCCUGGAUUCAGCGGCGGACGGGUGAGUAAUGCCUAGGAAUCUGCCUGGUAGUGGGGGAUAACGUCCGGAAACGGGCGCUAAUACCGCAUACGUCCUGAGGGAGAAAGUGGGGGAUCUUCGGACCUCACGCUAUCAGAUGAGCCUAGGUCGGAUUAGCUAGUUGGUGGGGUAAAGGCCUACCAAGGCGACGAUCCGUAACUGGUCUGAGAGGAUGAUCAGUCACACUGGAACUGAGACACGGUCCAGACUCCUACGGGAGGCAGCAGUGGGGAAUAUUGGACAAUGGGCGAAAGCCUGAUCCAGCCAUGCCGCGUGUGUGAAGAAGGUCUUCGGAUUGUAAAGCACUUUAAGUUGGGAGGAAGGGCAGUAAGUUAAUACCUUGCUGUUUUGACGUUACCAACAGAAUAAGCACCGGCUAUCUUCGUG